AUUGAACGCUGGCGGCAUGCCUAACACAUGCAAGUCGAACGAGUGGCGGACGGGUGAGUAAUGUCGGGGAAACUGCCUGAUGGAGGGGGCUCACUACUGGAAACGGUAGCUAAUACCGCAUACCAUCAGAUGUGCCCAGAUGGGAUUAGGUUGUUGGUGGGGUAACGGCUCACCAAGGCGAAGAUCCCUAGCUGGUCUGAGAGGAUGACCAGCCACACUGGAACUGAGACACGGCCCAGACUCCUACGGGAGGCAGCAGUGGGGAAUUGUGCACAAUGGGCGAAAGCCUGAUGCAGCCAUGCCGCGUGUAUGAAGAAGGCCUUCGGGUUGUAAAGUACUUGUAGCGGGGAGGCGUUACCCGCAGAAUAAGCAACGGCUAACUCCGUGCCAGCAGCCGCGGUAAUUC
rnacentral:rRNA from 1 species